CAUAAUUUUAUAGAAAAAAGGGAGAAGUUAAUGAUGUGCGUUUUCUAGUUGUGGUCAAUGAAAGAUGGGCGUUGUAUAAUGACUUCGACAUCGUUUUAGGUGUGAACAUCCUCUGUCAUAACCGUUUGAUGGUGGUGGGAGGCAAUUACCGCCUCCUAGUUUGCAUGGAACUUGAAGAUUUUUUCCCAGUCCCGGGUAGCUGAUUGGUGUCGCGUUUGCACCCUCUUCCAUCACCAUUGAGCUUAUUACCAAUGAACAAAUCCACAACACCAUGAUCUUCUUCUCCACUCCCAUUUUGUUCCAAGAAAUAUACAAUUAUUUAUUUAAUUAGAACUUUACACUAUCUUUCAAUCAAAAGUUUGGGUUUUUUAUCGCUUCAUGGUACUUGUAUAUUUAGUAAAAUGUUUAACCAUAAAUACAAGAUUUAAGCAUUUUUUAAGACAGUUUUAGUGAAUAAGAUGAUGAGUUCAUAACAGAAUUCCCUAGUCUCUUUCAACGCUAUUCAUCCUUUCCAAAAUUAUACAUGCAAUACUAGAUAAAAAAAUGACAUGUUAAAUGUCAGUUUUCUUUAUCAACUACCAAUUUGAGUAAUAUUUUUCAAUGAAAAUAUAAGGAAAUCUCCUCCCUUUCUUUUUCUACAAACUAUUACUAUCCCGUACAACUUUAAAAUCAGUUAUUUGACUAAUGGUAAAUGUACAAUUUUAUUUGAAAUAAUAAGUUAUUCACAUUUUCGUUGUUCUUAUUUCCUAAAGCAUGUGGUAAUCUGAUUGUGUCCGGAUUAAAUUUGGGUUAUAGUUUUAGGAGCUUACUAUUAUUAUUUUGUUUAUGCUAACUUUAGUUUUUAUUAUUUCUUAUAUUUUGUUUAUUAUUAGAAAUUCUAUCGUAUGCGUAUACUUGUGGAAAUUACAUAUUUACAAUAUGAAUGUUUUUAAAACUAACAAACAAUAAAUAAUGAAAUGUAUGGUUCAAAACUAAAAAUAAUAACAAACUUUAUGAGAGAAAACAUUUUGUGCUAAAAAUCAAUUUUUUAGAAGUUUACUCAAGAAAUAUUAUUGAUGUAGUGGUAAAGAAUUUGUUUGUAGAUCCAUUAAACACAAGUACCAAUCCCCAAACAUGGUAAAUUUAGUUCUUUUAACUAAAAACUAUAUAAAUGUAUGAAAAUACAAAAAAGGCAUCAGAAUGAUAAUAAUAGUCAUUUAACUAAAUUGUUUAUAAGUAAUUCCCUAAGUUGUGACAGACCACAGCCCAACGUGUUGAUGUGUUGGCUAAAAACCACGCAAAUAAAAUAUGUAGAGUUAAGUGCGGUUUCUGCAGGUGAACAUGUCAACCUGCAAUAUAGUUUUCUUUACAAUUAAACAAUUAUAAAGUAUUUCGAGGAUCGUACCCAAGGGAUUAUUGAUUAAAGAAAAUGGCUAUUAAAUUAAUUACAGAAAUUAAGUACUAAUCUAGUCGAGUUAUAAAUUAGUAGUAUAAAUCCAAAACAAUAAUAAAAUUAACUAAUUAUUUUAACCGAAAACUAAAAGUAACCCUAAGUUAAUUAUUUGUUUCUCCUAUUCCUAGUUUCGACAACGUGAGCCUUCACAGCCAAGAAUCAAUUUUAACCCUAAUUAUUAAUUAAGUAGACAAGGACCUUUAAUUAAGUAUGUACUAACCUUAGCUAAGAAUACCUUCCCAGUUUCAUCUUCAUUAAGAAUUACAACCUAAGAUUCCUUUUUGGUCUUACCUAAGCAUACGAAUACCCUUUUGUUCUCACUGCUUGGUACAAGUUCUACUCAAUUGGAUACCCUCUCAGUCUCACUUGUCUAGAUCUUCUACUAUAGGUGUCACUUCCUAGUAUAUUAAGUACUUUCGAAUAAAAACUCAAUUUUAGGUUACUAUUUAUUUAAUCAAUUAAUUAAUGAAAUAAUCAAGUCAUUCAAAAUAAGUAUGGAGCCCAAAAUACAUUCCAAUAAUUAUAUAUACAUUCUAUUAAUAAAACUAUCAAAUGCAAUAUAAAUGAAAGAAUAAAGGGACGAGAAUGCUCGUUAAUUAAUCAUUGAAAUGGCACUAUUUCAAAACAUCCUUUGCUCGCGAUCGACUAACUUUGAGAGACAAGCAUGUAUUGGUCCAUCAAUUAAUUAGUUAGAGGCUAAGAGGUAAUAGCUGGUAAUUAAUAGCUAACUUGAUAAAACCUGAGUUCUGAAGUUAAUUAGGAACACUGAAAUGAAUUAAUCUUAUGCCUGCUUAAUUGAAUUUAAUUUCGAUUGUUAAAAUUGAUUGUCUUUAAUUUUUGUUAAUUUAUGUUAUUUUGAUUGAUUGCCUUUGAUUUAGUUUUUGGUAAUAUAAUAUUAGAUUACUACUAUUUAGCCUGGUUAGUGUAGCAUAUUAGUCUUGGUUCAAUUCAACCUCCCUUGGGUACGAUCCUCGAAAUAGAUCCCGAAGUGUUUCCUUGUAACAUUAUUCUAUAUUACAAUUUAACUCGUAUACUUGUUGACACACUACAUUAUUAAUUGGCUCUUUAGCUGCUGUAUUUUCAACCCAGACGUUCGCACAUCUGGUGGCAGUCAUUUGGCCAAAUGUUGACAGUUGGACAUGAAGAGUUUAAGAUGUACCCAUCAGUUGCAGGCUCCUUCGUGCGACCCAUGAAACUAGGGCAUGGGAACACCUAUAUCCAACAAACUCAUUGAAGUUAAUAAGACCUCCAUUGUUCGCACCGCUUUACUUAAAACUAUUUCUAUGUCACUUUUUCAAGAACGUAAGACAACUUAUAUGAAUUAGAGAAAAUAUUAAUAAGACCUUUGCUCAAAUUUUUAAAAAAAUAGUUGAAGUAUAUAUUUCCGGAAUUCAUGGCUUACAACAAUCAGGAAUGAAUUAACAUAUGAAAUGAUUAAUUCCUUUUUUUUCACAUAAUUUUAUAGAAAAAAGGGAGAAGUUAGUGAUGUGCAUUUUCUAGUUGUGGUCAAUGAAAGAUGGGCGUUGUAUAAUGACUUCGACAUCGUUUUAGGUGAGAACAUCCUCUGUCAUAACCGUUUGAUGGUGGUGGGAGGCAAUUACCGCCUCCUAGUUUGCAUGGAACUUGAAGAUUUUUUCCCAGUCCCGGGUAGCUAAUUGGUGUCGCGUUUGCACCCUCUUCCAUCACCAUUGAGCUUAUUACCAAUGAACAAAUCCACAACACCAUGAUCUUC
rnacentral:lncRNA from 1 species